rnacentral:rRNA from 1 species
UACGAAGGGGGCGAGCGUUGUUCGGAAUCACUGGGCGUAAAGGGCGCGUAGGCGGCCCUCUUAGUCGCGUGUGAAAGCCCCGGGCUCAACCUGGGAACGGCGCGCGAAACGGGAGGGCUGGAGUUCGGGAGAGGAGAGUGGAAUUCCCAGUGUAGAGGUGAAAUUCGUAGAUAUUGGGAAGAACACCGGUGGCGAAGGCGGGUCUCUGGGCCGUAACUGACGCUGAGGGGCGGAAAGCAUGGGGAGCGAACAGG